rnacentral:precursor_RNA from 15 species
AAAUAUUGUAAAUAUAUAAUAAUUCUGUUUUCUGCUCGCUAGAUGUAAGUUGGAAGUUUUGAAGUCCUAUUUACAUUAGUAGGCAGAGAAUAAGAUUAUUACAUUCUACGAAAUAUAUG